rnacentral:rRNA from 1 species
AGUGAACGCUGGCGGUAGGCCUAACACAUGCAAGUCGAACGGCAGCACAGAGGAGCCUGCCCCUUGGGUGGCGAGUGGCGGACGGGUGAGGAAUACAUCGGAAUCUACUCUGUCGUGGGGGAUAACGUAGGGAAACUUACGCUAAUACCGCAUACGACCUACGGGUGAAAGCAGGGGACCCUCGGGCCUUGCGCGAUUGUAUGAGCCGAUGUCGGAUUAGCUAGGUGGCGGGGUAAAGGCCAACCAAGGCGACGAUCCGUAGCUGGUCUGAGAGGAUGAUCAGCCACACUGGAACUGAGACACGGUCCAGACUCCUACGGGAGGCAGCAGUGGGGAAUAUUGGACAAUGGGCGCAAGCCUGAUCCAGCCAUACCGCGUGGGUGAAGAAGGCCUUCGGGUUGUAAAGCCCUUUUGUUGGGAAAGAAAUCCAGCUGGCUAAUACCCGGUUGGGAUGACGGUACCCAAAGAAUAAGCACCGGCUAACUUCGUGCCAGCAGCCGCCGUAA